rnacentral:rRNA from 1 species
AUUGAACGCUGGCGGCAUGCCUUACACAUGCAAGUCGAACGGUAGAGUAGCAAUACUUGAGAGUGGCGAACGGGUGAGUAAUAUAUCGGAACGUGCCCAGUUGUGGGGGAUAACGUAGCGAAAGUUACGCUAAUACCGCAUACGAUCUAAGGAUGAAAGCGGGGGACUCGCAAGAGCCUCGCGCAACUGGAGAGGCUUAUAUCAGAUUAGGUAGUUGGUGAGGUAAAAGCUCACCAAGCCGACGAUCUGUAGCUGGUUUGAGAGAACGACCAGCCACACUGGGACUGAGACACGGCCCAGACUCCUACGGGAGGCAGCAGUGGGGAAUUUUGGACAAUGGGCGCAAGCCUGAUCCAGCAAUGCCGCGUGCAGGAAGAAGGCCUUCGGGUUGUAAACUGCUUUUGUACGGAACGAAAAGGUCCUGGCUAAUACCCGGGGCUCAUGACGGUACCGUAAGAAUAAGCACCGGCUAACUACGUGCCAGCCGCCGCCGUAACAC